AGCUUUCUUCCCGCCAGGCCCCCUCCACCCGAUCGCCGCGCGCUCUCCGAACCAAAAGGCGACCUCACGAAAUGCCCCUUUGAGCUCAAAGGCUAGUUACCCCCAGGGGCCCUUCCACUCUCGGGGACAGGCGAAACCUCUUUGUCUCUGCCUCGGCCUGCGGCCCCCAGCCCAGCCUCCGCGCUUUCCCUCCGCCAGUCCUUGUCAAUCAAACCUGGUGCCAAACGCGGCAGCUGAAGUUUUCAGGGACACAUUUGCUUCUCCCCUUGAAGAACCAGUUACAAAGCGUGAUGUCCUCUCUGGGGUCCCAUCAGAACAAAGAAACAGGUCUAAAGACCCUCAUUCCAGAGAGCAUCCUGCCCCAUAUCCAGAAUGAAAUCCAUGCUCAGAGAUGCCAAGAAGAAUCUAGACAGACAGGCCUUUCUAGGAAGUGAGGAGCGUCUCUGCCCGGCCGCCCAUUGUCUGAGAUGUGGGGAGAGCCUCUGCCCCGCCGCCCCGCCUGGGAUGUGAGGAGCGCCUCUACCCGGCCGCGACCCUGUCUGGGAGGUGAGGAGCGUCUCUGCCCGGCCGCCCCGUCUGAGAAGUGAGGAGACCCUCCGCCUGGCAACCGCCCGUCUGAGAAGUGAGGAGCCCCUCCGCCCGGCAGUCACCCCGUCUGGGAAGUGAGGAG
rnacentral:lncRNA from 10 species